GCGAAAUUGCUGAUUCAAAUUGUAAUUCAUAAAUUUUGAUUCAUAUUUUGAGGAUAUGCACAGUCAUAAAGAAAUAACAAGUUAAAAGGAUGACUCAAAAAAACAAGUAACUGAUGGUGGAUUGUAACAACGCAUAUAUUGGAGGAUCAAGAACCUCUGUAUAUCUUAAAGACCCUAGGAAUUUUAACUUUAUGCAAAUGGACAGUUUGUGUCUACCUUUUAUUUAUAGCUGGAAUAUUCCAAUGUUUUAUAUUUAAAUGUAAAUCAUAUAUACUCAUCUUGAUAUCGUUUUAUGUGUAUCCUAUUCAAUACCAACUAUGUUGAUAUUUGUAUUGUUUAAGAAUUGUUUGAUAUCCAACCAUUAUAUCUUAUAAUCUGUUUGCUUAUUUUUUAUUUGACAAUCAAUGUCGAUUCAUAUUUUUGAAGUAGGAAAUUGUCAUGAUGAAUAUUUUUGUACAUAAUGAAUGACAUCUAGCUUUCUCUUGUGAUUUUCUUGUAUUGCAUUUUUUUAAAACUCGAUUCAAAGGGUCACUUGGUGUCCGUCAACUUUCAUCGUAAUUGUCGUUGUUC
rnacentral:lncRNA from 1 species